rnacentral:rRNA from 1 species
CCUACGGGAGGCAGCAGUGAGGAAUAUUGGUCAAUGGACGAGAGUCUGAACCAGCCAAGUAGCGUGAAGGAUGACUGCCCUAUGGGUUGUAAAUUUCUUUUAUAUGGGAAUAAAACGUUCCACGUGUGGGAUUUUGUAUGUACCAUAUGAAUAAGGAUCGGCUAACUCCGUGCCAGCAGCCGCGGUAAUACGGAGGAUCCGAGCGUUAUCCGGAUUUAUUGGGUUUAAGGGGAGCGUAGGUGGGAUGUUAAGUCAGUUGUGAAAGUUUGCGGCUCAACCGUAGAAUUGCAGUUGAAACUGGCAGUCUUGAGUGCAGGAGAGGUGGGCGGAAGUCGUGGUGUAGCGGUGAAAUGCUUAGAUAUCACGAAGAACACCGAUUGCGAAGGCAGUUCACUGGACUACAACUGACACUGAGGCUCGAAAGUGUGGGGAUCAAACAGGAUUAGAUACCCCAGUAGUC